rnacentral:rRNA from 1 species
AACGAACGCUGGCGGCAGGCUUAAUACAUGCAAGUCGUGGGGCAGCAUGAAUGUAGCAAUACAUUUGAUGGCGACCGGCAAACGGGUGCGGAACACGUACACAACCUUCCUAUAAGUGGGGAAUAGCCCAGAGAAAUUUGGAUUAAUACCCCGUAACAUAAUGAUGUGGCAUCACAUUAUUAUUAUAGCUACGGCGCUUAUUGAUGGGUGUGCGGCUGAUUAGAUAGUUGGCGGGGUAACGGCCCACCAAGUCUACGAUCAGUAGCUGAUGUGAGAGCAUGAUCAGCCACACGGGCACUGAGACACGGGCCCGACUCCUACGGGAGGCAGCAGUAAGGAAUAUUGGUCAAUGGACGCAAGUCUGAACCAGCCAUGCCGCGUGAAGGAUUAAGGUCCUCUGGAUUGUAAACUUCUGUUAUCUGGGACGAAAAAAGGCGAUUCUUCGUCACUUGACGGUACCAGAUGAAUAAGCACCGGCUAACUCCGUGCCAGCCGCCGCCGUAACAC